rnacentral:rRNA from 1 species
UGGGGAAUUUUGCACAAUGGGGGAAACCCUGAUGCAGCGACGCCGCGUGAUUUAGAAGGCCUUCGGGUUGUAAAAAUCUUUUCUAUGGGAAGAAAAUGACAGUACCAUAGGAAUAAGGACCGGCUAAUUACGUGCCAGCAGCCGCGGUAAUACGUAAGGUCCGAGCGUUGUCCGGAAUCAUUGGGCGUAAAGGGUACGUAGGCGGGUAAGCAAGUUAGAAGUGAAAUCCUAUAGCUCAACUAUAGUAAGCUUUUAAAACUGCUCAUCUUGAAGUAUUGAAGGGAAAGUGGAAUUCCUAGUGUAGCGGUGAAAUGCGCAGAUAUUAGGAGGAAUACCGGUGGCGAAGGCGACUUUCUGGCCAUAACCUGACGCUGAGGUACGAAAGCGUGGGUAGCAAACAGG